rnacentral:rRNA from 1 species
UACGUAGGGGGCAAGCGUUGUCCGGAAUCAUUGGGCGUAAAGAGCGCGUAGGCGGCCCUGUAAGUCCGCUGUGAAAGUCAAGGGCUCAACCCUUGAAUGCCGGUGGAUACUGCAGGGCUAGAGUCCGGGAAGAGGAGAGUGGAAUUCCUGGUGUAGCGGUGAAAUGCGCAGAUAUCAGGAGGAACACCGAAUGGCGGAAAGGCCAGGUCACUGGGCCGCAACUGGACGCU